GGGUAAGUAGGUUGGUCGUGCCACCGGUACGUACUGGUCUCACUGAUUCCUCCUUCCUGAAGAACCGUAAUGCCAUUAAUUUGGUGUUGCGGGGAAACAGGACUGUUACUUUGAAAAAAUUAGAGUGUUUAAAGCAAGCUAACGCUUGAAUGCAUUAGCAUGGAAUAAUGAAAUAGGACGAUCGAUCCUAUUUUGUUGGUUUCUAGGAUUGACAUA
rnacentral:rRNA from 1 species